GGUAAUGCCGGAUGUUCCACAUGAUCGCAUGUGAUUGUGGGAAAGAUUCUAUCGGCGUGGGAUGGGGUCGCGUCCUAUCAGCUUGUUGGUGAGGUAACGGCUCACCAAGGCUUCGACGGGUAGCCGGCCUGAGAGGGCGACCGGCCACAUUGGGACUGAGAUACGGCCCAGACUCCUACGGGAGGCAGCAGUGGGGAAUAUUGCACAAUGGGCGCAAGCCUGAUGCAGCGACGCCGCGUGAGGGAUGGAGGCCUUCGGGUUGUAAACCUCUUUUGUUUGGGAGCAAGCCUUCGGGUGAGUGUACCUUUCGAAUAAGCGCCGGCUAACUACGUGCCAGCAGCCGCGGUAAUACGUAGGGCGCAAGCGUUAUCCGGAUUUAUUGGGCGUAAAGGGCUCGUAGGCGGCUCGUCGCGUCCGGUGUGAAAGUCCAUCGCUUAACGGUGGAUCUGCGCCGGGUACGGGCGGGCUGGAGUGCGGUAGGGGAGACUGGAAUUCCCGGUGUAACGGUGGAAUGUGUAGAUAUCGGAAAAGAA
rnacentral:rRNA from 1 species